UACGUAGGGUGCGAGCGUUAAUCGGAAUUACUGGGCGUAAAGCGUGCGCAGGCGGUUCGUUGUGUCGGCGGUGAAAGCCCCGGGCUUAACCUGGGAAUGGCAUUGGAAACUGGCUCGCUGGAGUGUGGCAGAGGGGGGUGGAAUUCCGCGUGUAGCAGUGAAAUGCGCAGAUAUCAGGAGGAACACCGAUGGCGAAGGCAGGUCUCUGGGCAUUAACUGACGCUGAGGAGCGAAAGCAUGGGGAGCGAACAGG
rnacentral:rRNA from 1 species